GACGAACGCUGGCGGCGUGCUUAACACAUGCAAGUCGAACGAUGAACCCGGAGCUUGCUCCGGUGGAUUAGUGGCGAACGGGUGAGUAACACGUGAGUAACCUGCCCUUGACUCUGGGAUAACUGCGGGAAACUGUAGCUAAUACCGGAUACGACCCUCGGCGGCAUCGCCAGGGGGUGGAAAGAACUUCGGUCAAGGAUGGACUCGCGACCUAUCAGCUAGUUGGUGAGGUAACGGCUCACCAAGGCGACGACGGGUAGCCGGCCUGAGAGGGUGACCGGCCACACUGGGACUGAGACACGGCCCAGACUCCUACGGGAGGCAGCAGUGGGGAAUAUUGCACAAUGGGCGCAAGCCUGAUGCAGCAACGCCGCGUGAGGGAUGACGGCCUUCGGGUUGUAAACCCCUUUUAGUAGGGAAGAAGCGAAAGUGACGGUACCUGCAGAAAAAGCACCGGCUAACUACGUGCCAGCCGCCGCAGUAA
rnacentral:rRNA from 1 species